rnacentral:lncRNA from 1 species
CCGCGCUCGACUGCCCGGAGCCAGCCCGGCCGUUCCCGGGGCGGCCAGGGCGCUCGGCAGCUCCGCUCGGAGACGCCUGGGAGACGAGACGGGCGCAAGGUGCAGCUACCGACAGCGCUAGCUAUCAGCGGCCCAAGCAGACGAAAAACAAAGAAAAACGCUGAGUUAGUGUCUCUCGUUCCUGCCGCUCCGGGAGGGGAGACCUCGGCUCCGCGCAGCUCCCGGCCGCAGCGGCUCACCGAGCCCGGAGCCGGGCCGCGAGCAGUGCAGGAGGGACGGAGGUGGCUGUGGGGCAGGGCAGCCGCGACCGGCACCCCCGGGAAACAGAGCCGAGCCAUCCCGUCCCUUUCCGGCGCUCCCCAGGCCUUGUCCACCCCUACCUCGUGGGAGCGGGGACGACCGCUCCGGGCCGCAGCGCGCCGGGGGCAGAGGCAGGGACCGGCCCUCCCUCCGGUCAGUCCCCCCGGCCGCGGGGCCGCGGCCUCUGCUCCCUCCCCGGCGGCCAAGCGCAGCGCCGUGCGCAGAGCUGCGGGGCGCCUGCCCGUCGCGCCGCGUCUCACGCUGGCCGCAGCCCGCGCGCCCAAAGGGCCCGCAGCGCCGAAAGCUCUUUUAGCAGAAGUUCCCGAGAGCGCGUUUCCGCCCCGGGAUGUUCGCUGUGAGCAUCCCAGCCCCACGGCCGCCUGCGGGGCCCAGCUGCUGCCGCCCCGUCUCGCCCGCUCAGCGGGGCCCCGUGGCCCAGCGGCAGCGCAAAACCGCGGCGCGGUGCGGCGGCGAGGGCUGGUUUCAUCCGGGGCCGGGCAGAGACUUAUCUCACGCGCGCUGAGCCUCCGCUCGGAGACGGGCYGUCGCCUCUGCGCAGGGGUGACGGGCCGCUUCCUCCCCCACGCGCGCCAGGCGGCAGCAGCGGCCCGGGGAGGGAGAAGCCAAGCACCAAAACACCGGGGCCGGGGAGGAAGGCUGCACCGCUGCCCGGAGCGCGGCUUGUAUUUGCCCUGCCUAGAUCAGAGCUUGGUCCACGGGGAGCGCGCGGCGCUGGGCGGCCUCGGCCGGCAAACGGUGAAACGGUGCAACUGGGUCUGCCAAGGAGGGGUGCAAGAGGGGGAAACCGAGGCAGACACCUCGCCAGGGAGCGGCAGCGCCGAGGAACCCAGCCGAGCGGCUUCCGUCUCCUCGGGAGCCUCCGAAGCACAGCUGCGCGCGUGA